GACGGACGCUGGCGGCGUGCUUAACACAUGCAAGUCGAGCGGUAAGGCCCUUUCGGGGGUACACGAGCGGCGAACGGGUGAGUAACACGUGGGUGACCUGCCCUCAGCUCUGGGAUAAGCCUGGGAAACCGGGUCUAAUACUGGAUAUGACUCCAUGACGCAUGUUGUGGGGUGGAAAGCCUUGUGCGGCUGAGGAUGGGCCCGCGGCCUAUCAGCUUGUUGGUGGGGUGAUGGCCUACCAAGGCGACGACGGGUAGCCGGCCUGAGAGGGCGACCGGCCACACUGGGACUGAGACACGGCCCAGACUCCUACGGGAGGCAGCAGUGGGGAAUCUUGCGCAAUGGGCGAAAGCCUGACGCAGCGACGCCGCGUGAGGGAUGACGGCCU
rnacentral:rRNA from 1 species